UACAGAGGUCUCAAGCGUUGUUCGGAUUCAUUGGGCGUAAAGGGUGCGUAGGUGGCGGGGUAAGUCAGGUGUGAAAUCUCGGGGCUCAACCCCGAAACUGCACUUGAUACUGCCUUGCUCGAGUACUGGAGAGGAGAUUGGAAUUUACGGUGUAGCAGUGAAAUGCGUAGAUAUCGUAAGGAAGACCAGUGGCGAAGGCGAAUCUCUGGACAGUUACUGACACUGAGGCACGAAGGCCAGGGGGAGCAAACGGG
rnacentral:rRNA from 1 species